rnacentral:rRNA from 1 species
GACGAACGCUGGCGGCGUGCUUAACACAUGCAAGUCGAACGGAAAGGCCCUGCUUGCAGGGUACUCGAGUGGCGAACGGGUGAGUAACACGUGGGUGAUCUGCCCUGCACUUCGGGAUAAGCCUGGGAAACUGGGUCUAAUACCGGAUAGGAGCCAUUUUUAGUGUGAUGGUUGGAAAGUUUUUUCGGUGUAGGAUGAGCUCGCGGCCUAUCAGCUUGUUGGUGGGGUAAUGGCCUACCAAGGCGGCGACGGGUAGCCGGCCUGAGAGGGUGGACGGCCACAUUGGGACUGAGAUACGGCCCAGACUCCUACGGGAGGCAGAAGUGGAGAAUAUUGCACAAUGGGCGCAAGCCUGAUGCAGCGACGCCGCGUGGGGGAUGACGGCCUUCGGGUUGUAAACUCCUUUCGCUAGGGACGAAGCUUUUUGUGACGGUACCUAGAUAAGAAGCACCGGCUAACUACGUG